rnacentral:rRNA from 1 species
GACGAACGCUGGCGGCGUGCUUAACACAUGCAAGUCGAGCGGUAAGGCCCUUCGGGUACGACGAGCGGCGAACGGGUGAGUAACACGUGGGUGACCUGCCUCUAGCUCUGGGAUAAGCCUGGGAAACUGGGUCUAAUACCGGAUAUGACUCCACGGCGCAUGUUGUGGGGUGGAAANCCUUGUGUGGCUAGAGAUGGGCCCGCGGCUAUCAGCUUGUUGGUGGGGUGAUGGCCACCAAGGCGACGACGGGUAGCCGGCCUGAGAGGGCGACCGGCCACACUGGGACUGAGACACGGCCCACGACUCCUACGGGAGGCAGCAGUGGGGAAUCUUGCGCAAUGGGCGAAAGCCUGACGCAGCGACGCCGCGUGA